rnacentral:rRNA from 1 species
AUACGUAGGGGGCGAGCGUUGUCCGGAAUGACUGGGCGUAAAGGGCGCGUAGGCGGUCAGAUAAGUUAGGAGUGAAAUCCCAGCGUUCAAGGGUGGAACUGCUUUUAAUACUGUUUGACUUGAGUGCGGAAGAGGUAGGUGGAAUUCCCAGUGUAGCGGUGAAAUGCGUAGAGAUUGGGAGGAACACCAGUGGCGAAGGCGACUUACUGGGCCGUAACUGACGCUGAGGCGCGAAAGCGUGGGGAGCGAACAGGAUUAGAUACCCUGGUAGUCCACGCGGUAAACGAUGAAUGCUAGGUGUAGGGGGUAUCGACCCCUCCUGUGCCGGAGUAAACGCAAUAAGCAUGCCGCCUGGGGAGUACGGCCGCAAGGUUAAAACUCAAAUGAAUUGACGG